GAUCGCGUAGCUCAGUCUGGUAGAGCAUUGCUCUGAUAAGGCAGGGGUCCCCGGUUCAAAUCCGGGCGCGAUCA
rnacentral:tRNA from 1 species